UACGUAGGUGGCAAGCGUUGGCCGGAUUUACUGGGCGUAAAGGGCGCGUAGGCGGUUCGUUAAGUCCUGUGUGAAAUCCCCCGGCUCAACUGGGGAACUGCACAGGAAACUAGCGGGCUUGAGUUCGGGAGAGGGAAGCGGAAUUCCGGGUGUAGCGGUGAAAUGCGUAGAUAUCCGGAGGAACACCGGUGGCGAAGGCGGCUUCCUGGACCGACACUGACGCUGAGGCGCGAAAGCUAGGGGAGCAAACGGG
rnacentral:rRNA from 1 species